AUCGAUGAAGAACGCAGCGAAAUGCGAUAAGUAAUGUGAAUUGCAGAUUUUCAGUGAAUCAUCGAAUCUUUGAACGCACCUUGCGCUCCUUGGUAUUCCGAGGAGCAUGCCUGUUUGAGUGUCAUUAAAUUCUCAACUCCACUGAUUUCGCGUCGUGUGCGAGCUUGGAUUUGGAGCGUGCUGGUCCUUCUCUGGGUCGGCUCCUCUUGAAAUGCAUUAGCGGGGAAAAACCCCUUCGUUGGCCCCUCGGCGUGAUAAUUUAAAGUUGCGUCGUGCUCGGUCUUUGAAGUCUCGCUUCCAACCGUCUUCGGACAAAUGUCAUUUUGACCAAUUUUGACCUCAAAUCAGGUAGGACUACCCGCUGAACUUAAGCAUAUCAAUAAGCGGAGGAAAAGAAACUAACAAGGAUUCCCCUAGUAACUGCGAGUGAAGCGGGAAAAGCUCAAAUUUAAAAUCUGGCGGUCUUGCGGUCGUCCGAGUUGUAAUCUGGAGAAGCGUUUUCCGCGCUGGACCGUGUACAAGUCUUCUAGAAUGGAGCAUCAUAGAGGGUGAGAAUCCCGUCUUUGACACGGACUACCAGGGCUUUUGUGAUACGCUCUCGAAGAGUCGAGUUGUUUGGGAAUGCAGCUCAAAAUGGGUGGUAAAUUCCAUCUAAAGCUAAAUAUUGGCGAGAGACCGAUAGCGAACAAGUACCGUGAGGGAAAGAUGAAAAGCACUUUGGAAAGAGAGUUAAACAGUACGUGAAAUUGUUGAAAGGGAAACGUUUGAAGUCAGUCGCGUUGGCCGGGGAUCAACCUUGCUCUUUUGCUUGGCGUACUUCCUGGUCGACGGGUCAGCAUCAAUUUUGAUCGUCGGAUAAAGGCCGGGGGAAUGUGGCAUCUUUCGGGAUGUGUUAUAGCCCUCGGUUCGGAUACGACGGUUGGGAUUGAGGAACUCAGCGCGCCUUUAUGGUCGGGGUAUCAACCCACGUAACGCGCUCAGGAUGCUGGCAUAAUGGCUUUAAGCGACCCGUCUU
rnacentral:rRNA from 1 species